UUUCCCGCCUCGUUCGGUACCCGCAACACUACUGUAGUAUUGUUUCGAAAUCAAUCCCCCCUUCUCUGUCUCAUUCCGCCAAAUCUCUCCACUGCGUCUCACUUCUCUGUGACUCUCAUGUUAAAAAUCAUAAGAUAAAAUCGAGCUCACCGAUUAUCACCGCCGAAUAAUCCAUUCUUGCGGUAUACAUUUCAUACCUUUUUGGCUGAAGCAACAUGAUGGAGGUGGAUACACGGCAGAAAUUACAAGAUGAUCAAAUGAGUGACUGUCGCAGCUUUGGCGGCAAUUGUCGUCCAUCUAGCCAGUCUAGAAAGAUUUCGAUUGGAAUUCUGAUUGACUCAACGUGGAAGAAAGGAUCUGGAGGCGCUAAGGAAAAUGAAGCUGCAGUACCAAACACAGAAAGGGUAAAUUCUAAGAAAGAAAGUUCAGUUGAAGGUAAAAAUAUGGGAAAAGGUGCUUUUGAUGCUACUAAAGGCAACCAAACUGAAGCUCCUGAGCAGGUCCAUUCCCCUUGGAUUACUACAAGAUCCUUUGACCAAAAAUUGCCAGCUUCUGAGGGUGUCCUUUACGCAGUAGAAACUUCCAAUUUACCUGGUUCUACUGGAAGAAGGAACAAGAUUAGCAGAGUAAAGAAUGUGCCUGUAACGCACUCGGUAGAGUUUUUUGCCAACCAACCAUCAAAUUCACAUUCUGGUGAUUUAAAGCAGAAGUUUAGUGGAUUCACCUACAAAAGGAAGGGCGGAAAGUAUAGAAACUCAAAUUCAGAAGAGGAAUUUACAUUUGCAACUGAAAAAGAAGGCACCAUGCAAGAUAUAGCAGUGACUGAUGAUAAGACAGAAGAGAGAAGAACUGAAACUUUGAAAAUGAAACUAUGGGAAAUACUGGGAAAUGUUUCUUCACCGAAAAGUCAGCCAUCUAAUUCUCAGGCUCAUCAGAUUGGUGUCAAUAAUUUAAAUCAGAAGCAAAUUCUUGAUCAAACAGAUGAUGUAGUUGUCAAGCCUAGACAGAGCUCAGAUACCAUAGAAACUGAUUCUGAAACUCCUGAUCAUACUAUGAAGAGACCAGUGACUCGUUCCUUGACCCAAAAAAGAGCUUCAACCAAACAGAAACCAGAGAAAACUGAAGUUGAUCCAUCCUCCAGUCACAGGCAAAAAAUUCAAGAGAAGGAUGUCUACUCCUUCGAAGAAGGAUUGCUUGGAAAACAAAAUGUUGCUGUCAAUGAUGGCUCUUCAAUGUCUACAAGGAAGAAGGGCCAGAUAAAGUGUUGCAGCAUCAAACCACGUAAGAUUCACUUCAGUGAAGACAACAAUGGAGAUGAGAUUCAGGAAGGAAGUCACAAGAGUGAAAUAUCACUCCCUGCUGAGAAAAUGUCUUCUCAUAGCAAUAAAAUGGGAAAUAUCCAUGGUUCUCAGAAUAAGAGAGACUACUGUGAACCAAAGAAUAGAAACAAAGAAAGAGAUCCCCAUCAAUCUGCAAGGAAAACACCUUUCCCUGCUGAGAAAGCAUCUUCUCUUAGCAACAAAAUGGGAGAUUUUCAUGGUUCUUGUAGGAAUAAGAGAGAAUACACUGAACCGAAGAAUAGAAACCAAGAAAGAGAUUCCCAUAAAUCUGCAAGCGAAGACUCCCACCAGUCUUUAUGGACACUCAGGACUGGUCAACAGAAGGAUUUUAGCAGCUCCGCAGUACCUGAACAUGGGGAUCAACAAGAAAAAUUUGAUCCUCCCUCCUCAAAUAGCGCUGUUGAUCCUCAGAAUGAUUUCCAGAGUCCACCAUUCAAAAUCAAUUCCUGUACCUUAAGCUCCCCCCCAAGCUCAAUGCCAAAAUAUGACCAGAUAAAACAGGUUUUUGGCAGUCCUGAACAAGCAGUGAGAAACUUUACUGUGGGAAAAAUAAAUAGCUUCAGGACUUUGUGGACUUCAAAGGCAGAUUGUUUUGCCUCAAAUAGUCAAACAGAAUCGCCUGAUGUUGCAGCAGAAAUUAUGGAUUCCCCACCCAGCAAAACAUCACCUCUUAAGGGGGGAAAAGAUGUGGAAGGUGGUCUUUUUGAAUCAUCAUCUGAAGAUGGAUACUCUGAGAGCUCUGAAGAAGGUUCACCAAUUGUUAAGGGUCAUAGAGAAGGAGAUAACUUCUCUCCAGAAAUUGCAACUGCUGACAGAUCAAAAUUCAUGCUUCAUCCAACUAAAAGGCUCCGCAACCACAAUGUUGAAAAACUCAGAAAAUUUAGUCCCACAUCACCCUCUCCAACAGGCAUUGUUGAAACUGAGCUCACUCCUGAGAUUUCAGAACAAAACCAAGGGAAUGAACUGGAAAGGGCCAUUAUGCUGUUCGCCACAGCUUUAGAAAACUUCAAAAAGAAAAUGAAGUUGGAGACUAGAAAGAAAUCCUCGGACAUUUUGAUGUCUGUCUCAGAGGAGAUACGUCUACAGUUGAAGAAUAUUGAGUCGCAAAUCCAAACAGAUCUGGGGAAGCUGUCAAGUGUUAGUAAAUCAAAAAGGAGACGCCUGGAGUCAAGAUUUGAAGAACAACAAGAGGAACUAAAGUUGAUACAUGAUAAAUUCAAACAAGAUAUUUAUCAGCAUCUCCAGGAGUGUAAAACCACGCUUGAAGGACUAGAAUUGCACCAGAUUGACUUCAACGGAACUGUGAAAAAGCGAAAAGCAUCACACCAGAAGCUUCUUAUGCAAGCGGAAGAAGCAGUGAAGACACAGCUAGAUGGUGCACAAAGAAGAAUCACAGCUGUGCAAAAGUUGGCAAGGGAAAAGACGCUCCAGUUGAAGUAUGUUGUAGCCGAGUGCUUGAAUGAGGGUGUUCUAAGUUGACGAGGUUUUUUAACUGAUGGCUAACAAGAUGGGGACUUUGUACAGAGAUCAGAAUUAGGAAGAGGCCGAAGGUUUUACGAGUUUCCUAGAGACCACUACUUCUCAAUAGAAAGAAAAGGAAAAGGUUAAAAAUUUGUGAGAGCUUCAAGAGAGUAUUUGAUGUGGGGCAUGUGGUGUGAAGAGCUCACGGAUAAGUUUGAUAGACAAAAGCUCAAGAAGACGUUGUGGAAGGUAAGCAUGCAUUGUUGCUUUGAUGGGUUAUAACUGUGCCUGAUUGAUGCAACAUAUAAUCCGAAAAGCUAAGUAUGUCGGAGGCCAACAAAUAGCGGAGUGUUGAAGGCUAUCCAGGCUGUGAUUUUGUUUCGUCAGUCGGUCGGUGUCCGGGGAGGGAAAAGGGCGCAUCCCAGAUAGGAAAACAAAGAGGCACGUGAACCACCACGCGUGCACACGUGAAGUGCAAACCUUUUAUUUUAUUUUUAUGAAGAAUUAGGGAUUUAUAUUAUUUUGUAAGAUUAUAUAAUCUACAUUUGAUAUUCCUUUUUAUUUUACUGUUAUGAGAUAUUGUUUGA